AGGCAUUACCCAUAAGUUGACUGAAUUAGUAAUCAAGUUAUAUAUUUAAAUGUCUGCUGAGAAAAUGUGGUCCUUUUGUUUCCUUGCUGUUUACAAAACCAACACAUGAAAAAGUUGCUGCCUGUCUAACAAAUGGUUAGUGACUUCCAACAAGGCGAAAUAUCCACUCAUUCUGAAGAAAUGAGACAAGUAGUCCAAUCACUUUCCUGGAGAGUGCCACUAGACAAUGUGAAAUUUUCACAUUAUGCCAUGAGUUAUGAAUCAUCACUCAAUUCAAGACGAAGAGAAAUCUUCCGCUUGUUUAGGGAGAAGUCAUUUUCCUGUGAGGACCACUUGCCUGUAUGAAAUACUCUGGUUUGACUGUGCUUUGCAGAGUAUUAGCGCCACCCGACUUCCCAGGUGGUAUCAGUGAUAAAGAAUCCCCCUGCCAAUGCAGGAGACGUAAGAGACAGGGGUUCAAUCCCUGGGUUGGGAAGAUCCCCUGGAGGAGGGCACGGCAACCGACUCCAGUAUUCUUGCCUGGAGAAUCCCACGGUCAGAGGAGCCCGGUGGGCUACAGUCCGUAGGGUCACAAAGAGUUGGACACAACUGAAGCGACUUAACUUGCACACACAGACUGACCUUAAACAUCUGCGGAUGAACAUCACUUCUGUUGAUAUACAAAUGGCUUUUAUGACCUGUGAUGAAACGUGCUUAACAGGCUGGGAUAGUGCAGUAACUUGGGUUAACAACAGUCUAUUAUGGUACCUCGUGCGAAGAGUUGACUCAUUGGAAAAGACUCUGAUGCUGGGAGGGAUAGGAGGCAAGGUUCAAUUGUAUGUAAUAUCAGUAGAUACAAAGUUUUAACAAAGGUCUGCAAACUUACAGGUAUUCUUGAUCAAAGGUAUCUAUUUCAUUUUAUUAGACUUAGAUCUAAGAACAACUAGGCAUAGAAUUAAUUAGUCAAAGGACUGGAUCAAUGUCAAACAGCUAACUGUUUCAUUCAGAUUUAGUUUUCCAGAACAUAAAAGAAUAUAGCUUUGCAAUAAAAGAUUUAUAUGUUCCAAACACAGAUCAGUCACUUCCUAAAUUUAUGGACUUAACCUCCUUUAAACUUCAAUCCUGUUGUUGGGAAAAAAGGUUACAAGUUAGUCAUAAGGAUUCAGUAGGAUUUUACAUGAAAAAUGCUUAGCCAUGAUCUUAGUUUUCUGAAUAUUGACUUUUAAGCCAACUUUUCACUCUCCUCUUUUAAUUUCAUCAAUAGGCUCUUUAGUUCCUCUUCACUUUCUGCCAUUAGCGUGGUAUCAUCUGCAUAUCUGAGGUUAUUGAUAUUUCCCCUGGCAAUCUUGAUUCCAGCUUAAGCUUCAUCCUUCCUGACAUUUUGCAUAAUGUACACUGCAUAAAAGUUAAAUAAGUAGAGUGACAACAUAUAGCCUUGAUGUACUCCUUUCCCAAAUUUGAACCAGUCCAUUGUUCCAUGUCUGGUUCUAACUGCUGCUUCUUGACCUGCAUAUAGCUUUCUCAGGAGGCAGGUAAGAUGGUCUGGUAUCCUUAUCUCUUUAAGAAUUUUCCAAAGUUUGCUGUGAUCCACAGAGUCAAAGGCUAAUUUAGCAUAAUCAAUAAUGCAGAAGUAGAUGUUUUUCUGGAAUUCUCUUAUUUUUCUAUGAUCCAAUGGAUGUUGGCAAUUUGACCUGUGGUUCCUCUGCCUUUUCUAAAUCUAGUCUGAACAUCUGGAAGUUACUGGUUUGUGUAAUGCUGAAGUCAAGCCUGAAAGAUAUUGUGCAUUACCUUGCUAGCAUGUGAAAUGAGUACAAUUUUACAGUGGUUUAAACAAUGCUUGGCAUGUUUAUUGCCCUUAUUUGGGAUUGGAAUGAAAACUAAACUUUUCCAGUCCUGUGGCCACUGCUGAGUUUUCCAAAUGUGCUGGUAUAUUGAGUGCAGCACUUUAACAGCAUUAUCUUUUAGGAUUUGAAAUAGAUCAGCUGGAAUUUCGUUACCUCCACUAGCUUUGUUUGUAGUAAUGUUUCCUAAAACCCAUUUGACUUCACACUUCAGGAUUCAAAGUUCUACAUGAGUUCAUGACUUCAGGAUGUCUGGUUCUACAUGAGUGACCACACCAUUGUGGUUAUUUGGGUCAUUAAGACUUUUCUUGUAUAGUUCUUCUGUGUAUUCUUGCCACCUCUUCUUAAUCUUUUCUGCUUCCCUGAGGUCCUUAACAUUUCUGUCCUUUAUUGUGUCCACCUUUGCAUGAAAUAUUCCUUUGGUAUCUACAAUUUUCUUGAAGAGAUCUCUAGCCCUUUUCAUUUUAUUAUUUUUCUCAAUUUCUUUGCAUUGUACACUUAAGAAGGCUUUCUUGUUUCUCCUUGCUAUUGUCUGGAACUCUGCAUUCAGUUGGGCAUAUCCUUCCCUUUCUCUUUUGACUUUUGCUUUUCUUUUUUUCUCAGCUAUUUGUAAGGCCUCCUCAGACAACCACUUUGCCUUCUUGAAUGUAUUUUUCUUUGGGAUGAUUUUGGUCACUGGAUCCUAUACAAUUUUAUAAAUGUCCAUCCAUAGUUGUUCAGGGACUCUCUCUACCAGAUCUUAUAUCUUGAAUUUAUUCAUCACCUCCACCGUAAAAAUCAUAAGGGAUUUGAUUUAGGUCAUACUUCAAUGGCCUAGUGGCUUUCUCUACUUUCUUCAAUUUAACUUUGAAUUUUGCAUAAGGAACUCAUGGUCUGAGCCACAGUCAGCUCCAGGUCUUGUUUUUGCUGAUUGUACAGAGCUUCUCCAUCUUUGGCUGCAAAGAAUACAAUCAAUCUGAUUUUGGUACUGACCAUCUGGUGAUGUCCAUGUGUAGAGUCAUCUCUUUUGUUGUUGGAAUCCAUUCUAACAUAUGAAUUGAUUUCCCCUACAUUUUACAUAAUGAAGUGGAAGAGCCAAAAUUCAAACCCAAUUUGUUUGACUGGAAUCCAGUGCUUUUUUCACUCUAUAUUUACUAUGUCGUAAAUGAUAGCCUAGCUGAAAUGAAAGUUGUAAAAUUAACUUAUCGUUAAGUAAUACAUAUUUAUAGUUUCUGCAGUGAAUUCCUAACUAGUUCAUCUCAGUGUUUAAUCAAGAUUUCCCGAUGCCUAAAAAGUACUGAAAUUUGCCCAAAACUCAACUCCUUUACCCCUCAUACCCCCAGCAUCUACUACAGUAUUUCCCAUCACCAUAAAUGGAAAUUCCAACCUUCCAAUUGCUCUGCUGCUGCUAAGUCGCUUCAGUUGUGUCCGACUCUGUGCGACCCCAUAGAUGGCAGCCCACCAGGCUCCCCCGUCCCUGGGAUUCUCCAGGCAAGAACACUGAAGUGGGUUGCCAUUUCCUUCUCCAAUGCAUGAAAGUGAAAAAAUAAAGUGAUGUCACUCAGUCGUGUCCGACUCCUAGCGACCCCAUGGACUGCAGCCCAACAGGCACUUCUGUCCAUGGGAUUUUCCAGGCAAGAGUACUGGAAUGGGGUGCCAUUGCCUUCUUCAUCCAAUUGCUCUAAAUGUCCCCAUUUCAGAGAGAUCUACAUUGGUCAAAACGGCCAUCUUUAAAAUUCUACAAAUAGUAAAUUCUGGAGAAUGUGUGGAGAAAGGGAAUCUUCUUACACUGUUGACGAGAAUGUAAAUGGAUAGAGCCACUGUGGAGAACAGUAUGGAUGUUCCCUAAAAACUAAAACUAGAACUACUGUAUCAUCCAGCAAUCCCACUCCUGACAUAUAUCUGGAGAAAACCAUAAUUCAAAAAGAUACAUGCCCCUGAUGUUCACACCAGCACUAGUUACAAUCAUGGAGACAUGGAAGCAACCUAAAUGUCAAUUGACAGAGGAGUGGAUAGGGUACAUCUGCUACAUAUACACAAUAGAAUAUUACCCAGCCACAAAAAAGAAAUAUGAUUUGCAGCAACACAGACGGACCUAGAGAUUUCCAAAAGUGAAGUAAGUCAGACAAUGGAAGACAUAUCGUAUGAUAACACUUAUAUAUGGAAUAUAAAGUAUAUGAUAAAAAUCAAUUUAUUUACAAAACAGAAAUAGACUCACAGACUUUCCAAACAAAGUUACAGCUACCAAAGGGAAAAGGUUGGGCACAGUGAUAAACUAGGAGUUUUGGAUUAUCCUACAUACACUACAAAGUGUAGGAUAACCCACAAGCACUACAUGCGUAUCUAAAGUAGCUAAUCAACAAGGACUUACUAUAUAGCACAGGGAAUGCUACUCAAUAUUCUGUAAUAACCUAUAUGGGACAACGAUCUGAAAAGGAAUGGAUUGUAUGUAUAUGUAUAACUGAACCACUUUGCUGUACACCUGAAGCUAGAAUAACAUUGUACAUCAACUAAAUCCCAAUACAAAAUACAAAUCAAAAGAAAAAAAUGAAAAAAAACAACCUGUUGAUUCUAUCUGUAAAUCUACUUAUGAAAACAGGCAGGUUAUCUCUAGGAUCUGCCCUUAGUACCAGAAUAUAAGUUUUCACUUAGAACGCUGUUUCCCUCAUGGCUGUUAUAACACCAGUAACAUGAAGCUUUAUAAAUACACAGAGUAUUAAAGGCUUCAGUUCAGUUCAGUUUAGUCACUCAGUCAUGUCUGACUCUUUGUGACCCCAUGAAUCACAGCACGCCAGGCCUCCCUGUCCAUCACCAACUCCCGGAGUUCACCCAGACUCACAUCCAUUGAGUCAGUGAUGCCAUCCAGCCAUCUCAUCCUCUGUCCUCCCUU
rnacentral:lncRNA from 1 species